CGGAAGCAGGCUGCAGGCUCCAAGGUGCCAGCGAUGGAGCCCAAUGUGGGGCUCGAACUCACAAACCACGAGAUCGUGACCUGAGCCGAAGUUGGAUCCUCAACUGACUGAACCAUCCAGGUGCCCUGUCUUUCACGACUUUUUAAAGGCAUAGCAACAAAGAUAUUGCCAAGCAAGGGAAAUGAUUUAGGACUAUACAACGGACAAAAGCACUAGGAUGGCUAGAGCUGAUCAUCCACGAGAUGAAGUCAUGUGGGUAACUGAGUCACAGAAACACCAACUAUUUUCCCAUUCAGUAUCUGCUCUGAGAUUCUUAAAUAAUUUCAGAGGGGAAAAUGUUUAAGCAAUUAUUUUAUUUUUUUAUUUUUAGCAAGACAACUGAAGUUGACUCCAUGACCACCUUUAACAACAGGACCUCCGGAACACCUUUGCCAAUUCUUGGUAACUUCCCCGUCACAGUUUCCUCAUCUGAAAUGGAUUGCUAAGAGAAUUAAAUGAUAUUUAGCAAUACCUGAAAAAUGUUCACAAUGACUACAUCCAAGCCCACCGGGCUACAUAUGUAGACAAGUCAACUAACCACAUAUAAAAAUCGCCAUUGGAGAAGGGGAAGAAUUAGAACCCACGUGACGAAGUUGAAAAUGCUGGGGAAGUGGAUACCAGUCCCACUUGCUCAGAGAAAGUUGAUUCUACUGCAGCCCCUGCAAGCAACUCAACUUCCUAACCUAGCAUUCUAGAGUGUCACAUUGAACCACCCCAAACUCAGAGUAUAGGCUCAGCUAGAAAAACGCCUGUUUCAAAAAAGCAAGAGGACAAGGAAAAUUUUCAGAAAUGUCUAUCUACCACUGCUGGGCUCCUCGAUUCAUCUCUUCCCAACUCCUCAAGAGGUGGUCCCCUUUGGAAGUUCCACAGAACACUUAGACACCUCCAGUGCCCAGCCUUGGGCUGAUUACAUUCAACUUGGCAUUUGAUGAUGAAACUUCCUCAAAUUGA